AUUGAACGCUGGCGGAAUGCUUUACACAUGCAAGUCGAGCGGCAGCGCGGGGCAACCUGGCGGCGAGCGGCGAACGGGUGAGUAACAUAUCGGAACGUACCCAGUCGUGGGGGAUAACUAUCCGAAAGGAUAGCUAAUACCGCAUACGACCUGAGGGUGAAAGGGGGGGAUCGCAAGACCUCUCGCGAUUGGAGCGGCCGAUAUCGGAUUAGCUAGUUGGUGAGGUAAAGGCUCACCAAGGCGACGAUCCGUAGCUGGUCUGAGAGGACGACCAGCCACACUGGGACUGAGACACGGUCCAGACUCCUACGGGAGGCAGCAGUGGGGAAUUUUGGACAAUGGGGGCGAACCCUGAUCCAGCCAUUCCGCGUGAGUGAAGAAGGCCUGUGU
rnacentral:rRNA from 1 species